rnacentral:rRNA from 1 species
CCUACGGGAGGCUGCGGUGGGGAAUAUUGGACAAUGGGGGGAACCCUGAUCCAGCCAUGCCGCGUGUGUGAAGAAGGCCCUCGGGUUGUAAAGCACUUUCAGUGAGGAAGAACGCCUGGUGGUUAAUACCCAUCAGGAAAGACAUCACUCACAGAAGAAGCACCGGCUAACUCCGUGCCAGCAGCCGCGGUAAUACGGAGGGUGCGAGCGUUAAUCGGAAUUACUGGGCGUAAAGCGCGCGUAGGUGGCUUGAUAAGCCGGUUGUGAAAGCCCCGGGCUCAACCUGGGAACGGCAUCCGGAACUGUCAAGCUAGAGUGCAGGAGAGGAAGGUAGAAUUCCCGGUGUAGCGGUGAAAUGCGUAGAGAUCGGGAGGAAUACCAGUGGCGAAGGCGGCCUUCUGGACUGACACUGACACUGAGGUGCGAAAGCGUGGGUAGCAAACAGGAUUAGAUACCCCGGUAGUC